CUUGCGGGAGAGCCCGGGUCCGGCGCAUCGCGACGGCGACCCGGCGCCGUAGGAGCAAACCCUCCCCGGGAAACUCUCAGGCACCAGUACCGCAAAG
rnacentral:ncRNA from 1 species